rnacentral:rRNA from 1 species
AACGAACGCUGGCGGCAUGCCUAACACAUGCAAGUCGAACGAGACCUUCGGGUCUAGUGGCGCACGGGUGCGUAACGCGUGGGAACCUGCCCUUAGGUUCGGAAUAACUCCCCGAAAGGGGUGCUAAUACCGGAUAAUGUCUUCGGACCAAAGAUUUAUCGCCUUUGGAUGGGCCCGCGUUGGAUUAGCUAGUUGGUAGGGUAAAAGCCUACCAAGGCGACGAUCCAUAGCUGGUCUGAGAGGAUGAUCAGCCACACUGGGACUGAGACACGGCCCAGACUCCUACGGGAGUCAGCAGUGGGGAAUAUUGGACAAUGGGCGAAAGCCUGAUCCAGCAAUGCCGCGUGAGUGAUGAAGGCCUUAGGGUUGUAAAGCUCUUUUACCCGGGAUGAUAAUGACAGUACCGGGAGAAUAAGCUCCGGCUAACUCCGUG